UACGUAGGGCGCAAGCGUUGUCCGGAAUUAUUGGGCGUAAAGAGCUCGUGGGCGGCUUGUCACGUCGGGUGUGAAAGCCCGGGGCUUAACCCCGGGUCUGCAUUCGAUACGGGCUAGCUAGAGUGUGGUAGGGGAGAUCGGAAUUCCUGGUGUAGCGGUGAAAUGCGCAGAUAUCAGGAGGAACACCGGUGGCGAAGGCGGAUCUCUGGGCCAUUACUGACGCUGAGGAGCGAAAGCGUGGGGAGCGAACAGG
rnacentral:rRNA from 1 species